CGUCUCUGCAGUCUCUGGGCGAAAAAAAGCAGGAGUUUUUGUGAGUGGUCAGGCAGGGAACAAUGACAGUGGAGUGCGCAUGCACGAGACGACUCCAUGUUUUUCUUUCAGUCUAUGAAUGAAUAUAACGUCGCCCAGUUGGAAUAUUAUCGCUAUUUUACGAGAAAAAUUGCAUAAAAAUAGAUUAGAAACAGCGUUUGACAUGCUUGAAAGUGCUGGGAUGGAAUAUUUUGAAUUUUUUUGUCACGAAAUGCACCCGCGCGUCACCCUUCGGAUACUGACAUGAACGCACGAACAAAACAGAGCUAUUUGGAUAUAACUAUGGAUUAUUUCGAACCAAAACAACAUUUGUUGUUGAAGUAGAAAUCCAUGGAGUGCAUUCUGACAAAGAACAGCAAAGGUCUAGCAGCCUGGACAACCAGAUGACGGGUCUGGAACGACAAUUCCAAUCCAGACAUCCACUGCCCUUUCUGGUGGUGGACUGCUCUGUUGGCAGAAAGACUAACAGGGUAAACCACCAGAGGGGGACCGGAAUGUCAAUCAGCAACCAGGACAUCCCCUGGCCAUUCUUGUGGUGCUUUACAGCUUUCAGAAAGCCUAUCCGUCUUAAGCACCAGAGGGGGACCGCAACGAUGAUCCACAACCAUGACAUCCCGUGGUCAUUUUUAUGUUGGUUUGUAACUUGCAGGAUAAUCACAAGAUUGAAUCCACCAGACGGGGACUGUCAUGACUUGCCCUCUUGGAUGGAGAUCAAAGGUGCCGGCUAACCAAAAGUUUCAAGACCCCCCUACUCCUGGGGGAGUUGGCCAGUUUUAUGAUGGUCAUAAAUACCGUACAGGAACUCUCUCUCCCACUCUGCAGAAAUUGAAGUUUUUACAAUAGAGUGAGAUUUUGCAGUACUGUAAAAUCAAAAGGUUGGACAUUGAAACAAUAUUUCUAACGUAAAUAAUGUGGGAAAUGGUUGGUGGGACUUAAAAGAUAAUCAUAUCAAAUCAGUUGUUGUUUGUGAUAUCGUUAACUUCUAUGGGCUAGGUGGACUCUAUUCAACAGCCAGUGGAAUCGCGUGGCGCGAAAUACAAAUACCUCAAAAAUUCAAUAAUUUCAAUAUUUCAAACAUACGACUAUUUUACACCAUUUGAAAGAUAAGACUCUCGUUAAUCUAACCACAUUGUCCGAUUUCAAAAAGGCUUUACAGCGAAAGCAAAACAUUACAUUAUGUUAGGAGAGUACAUAGACACAAAUAACCACACAGCCAUUUUUCAAGCAAGCAUAUAUGUCACAAAAACCCAAAACACAGCUAAAUGCGGCACUAACCUUUGAUCUUCAUCAGAUGACAAUCCUAGGACAUUAUGUUAUACAAUACAUGCAUGUUUUGUUCAAUCAAGUUCAUAUUUAUAUCAAAAAACAGCUUUUUACAUUAGCAUGUGAUGUUCAGAACUAGCAUUCUCACCCAAAACUUCCAGUGACUCAUUACUCAUCAUAAACGUUGACAAAAUACGUAACAAUUAUUUUAAGAAUAAUAGAUACAGAACUCCUUUAUGCAAUCGCUAUGUCAGAUUUUAAAAUAGCUUUUCGGCGAAAGCACAUUUUGCAAUAUUCUGAGUACAUAGCUCAGCCAUCACGGCUAGCUAAUUUGACACCCACCAUGUUCGAGCAACCUAAACUCAGAAUUACUAUUAGAAAAAUUGGAUUACCUUUGCUGUUCUUCGUCAGAAUGCACUCCCAGGACUGCUACUUCCACAACAAAUGUUGUUUUUGUUCCAAAUAAUACAUAGUUAUAUUGAAAUAGCUCCGUUUUGUUUGUGCGUUCAGAUCACUAUACAAAAUGCGUGAGCGCAUUUCGAGACAAAAAAUGUCAAAAUGUUCCUUUACCGUACUUAGAAGCAUGUCAAAUGCUGUUUAAAAUCAAUUUUUAUGGUAUUUUUCUCGUAAAAUAGCGAUAAUAUUCCAACCGGGCGACGUUGUAUUCAUUCAAAGGCUGGAAGAAAAAAAUGUAGAAUUCUCAUGAACGCGCUUUAUCAGUGUCACUGUUCCCAGCCUGACCACUCACAAACAGAGCUGCUGUACUUCGCCCAGAGACUGCAGACACCCCAUUACACUUUCUGGCGCCUUCUGAGAGCCAAUGGAAGCCUUAGAAAAUGUCACGUUACAGCAGAGAUGCUGUAUUUUCGAUAGAGAUGCAACAGAAUGAGAACAAAUUGUCAGACAGGGCACUUCCUGUAUGGAAUCUUUUCAGGUUUUGGCCUGCCAUAUGAGGUAUGUUAUACUCACAGACACCAUUCAAACAGUUUUAGAAACUUUAGAGUGUUUUCUAUCCAAAUCGACUAAUUAUAUGCAUAUUCUCAUUUCUGGGCAAGAGUAGUAACCAGUUUAAAUCGGGUACGUUUUUUAUCCGGCCGUGCAAAUACUGCCCCCUAGCCCCAACAGGUUAACUUAGCUGACACUCGUUUAUUUUCU
rnacentral:lncRNA from 1 species